GACGAACGCUGGCGUCGUGCUUAACUCAUGCAAGUCGAACGGAAAGGCCCUGCUUUUGUGGGGUGCUCGAGUGGCGAACGGGUGAGUAACACGUGAGUAACCUGCCCUUGACUUUGGGAUAACUUCAGGAAACUGGGGCUAAUACCGGAUAGGAGCUCCUGCUGCAUGGUGGGGGUUGGAAAGUUUCGGCGGUUGGGGAUGGACUCGCGGCUUAUCAGCUUGUUGGUGGGGUAGUGGCUUACCAAGGCUUUGACGGGUAGCCGGCCUGAGAGGGUGACCGGCCACAUUGGGACUGAGAUACGGCCCAGACUCCUACGGGAGGCAGCAGUGGGGAAUAUUGCACAAUGGGCGGAAGCCUGAUGCAGCAACGCCGCGUGCGGGAUGACGGCCUUCGGGUUGUAAACCGCUUUCGCCUGUGACGAAGCGUGAGUGACGGUAAUGGGUAAAGAAGCACCGGCUAACUACGUG
rnacentral:rRNA from 1 species